CUUCAGUCGCUGCUGCAACACCUGUGAAACACCUGGUGUUUUGGAAAAAGUACGCCAAUCACUUACUAGGCGUUACCAAGCCUGUAUCGAUGUUAGUGGUAAAACAUUUGAAAAAUUAAUGCAAUAUUAUAUUCUCAAAAUUCAGAAAAAUAUCUUUACAUAACGAUGGAACUCGUGUCAUUAAGGAAGUAAAUUUAAAGAUACGUCUAUUGAAACAAGCCAAGGAAAAAAUCAUGAACCACAUUCUUGUGAAAUUUCGUGAAGGAUUUUCUCGAAAAAAAAAUGUCAACAUACAGGGAGGUUAUAAUUAAAGUUCAAGUGUUUGAAGGACUGUGAAAGUAAAACUACUUGUAGUAUGUUAUAUUUACAACAUGGGGAAAUGAAUUACACAAUAAAAAAAUAUUAGUUCAA